rnacentral:rRNA from 1 species
AGAACGAACGCUGGCGGCAUGCCUAAUACAUGCAAGUCGAACGAACUCUUCGGACGUUAGUGGCGCACGGGUGCGUAACGCGUGGGAAUCUGCCCCUUGGUUCGGAAUAACAGUUGGAAACGACUGCUAAUACCGGAUGAUGACGAAAGUCCAAAGAUUUAUCGCCAAGGGAUGAGCCCGCGUAGGAUUAGCUAGUUGGUGAGGUAAAGGCUCACCAAGGCAACGAUCCUUAGCUGGUCUGGAGAGGAUGACACGCCACACUACGGGACUGAGACACCGGCCCACGAACUCCCGUACGGGA